rnacentral:lncRNA from 1 species
GAAAGGCUAGGUGGGGUCUGAGAGGAGUUACCAAGCCCUGAAGCUAGGUGUGAGGUUCUUAGAGGAGUUUCCAGCCCUCUGAUAGGGUAGGUGGAGGUCUGAGAGGAGUUUUCCAGCCCUCUGAUAACUAGGUGGAGGUCCAUGAGAGGAUUUCAUCCAUCCUUGCCUCUGAUAGGCUAGGUGGAGAUCUGAGAGGAGUUUCCAGCCCUCUGAUAAGGGUAGGUGGAGGGCGGAGAGGAGUUUCCAGCCCUCUGAUAGGCUAGGUGGAGGUCUGAGAGGAGUUUCCAGCCCUCUGAAGGCUAGGGUGGAGGUCUGAGAGGCAGUUACCCAGCCCCGUGAGAGGCGAGGUGGGGGUCUGAGAGGAUUUCCGCCCUCUGAUAGGCUAG